UCCCCUCGUUGUUCUCAGGGUUCCGUGU
rnacentral:piRNA from 1 species